AUUGAACGCUGGCGGCAGGCCUAACACAUGCACGUCGAGCGAGCGGCGGACGGGUGAGAAAUGUCUGGGAAACUGCCUGAUGGAGGGGGAUAACUACUGGAAACGGUAGCUAAUACCGCAUACCAUCGGAUGUGCCCAGAGGGGAUUAGCUAGUAGGCGGGGUAACGGCGCACCGAGGCGACGAUCCCUAGCGGGUCUGAGAGGAUGACCAGCCACACGUGAACUGAGACACGGUCCAGACUCCUACGGGAGGCAGCAGUGGGGAAUAUUGCAAAAUGGGCGCAAGACUGAUGAAGCCAUGCCGCGUGUAUGAAGAAGGCCUUCGGGUUGUAAAGUACUUUCAGCGGGGAGGCGUUACCCGCAGAAGAAGCACCGGCUAACUCCGUGCCAGCAGCCGCGGUAAUUC
rnacentral:rRNA from 1 species